rnacentral:rRNA from 1 species
ACCGGUUGAUCCUGCCGGACCCGACCGCUAUCGGGGUAGGGCUAAGCCAUGCGAGUCGCGCGCCCGGGGGCGCCCGGGAGCGGCGCACGGCUCAGUAACACGUGCCCAACCUACCCUCGGGAGGGGGACACCCCCGGGAAACUGGGGUCAAUCCCCCAUAGGGGAAGGGCGCUGGAAGGCCCCCUCCCCGAAAGGACGGCGGCCGAUCCGCCGCCGCCCGCCCGAGGAUGGGGGCACGGCCCAUCAGGUAGUUGGCGGGUUAAAGGCCCGCCAAGCCGAAGACGGGUAGGGGCGGUGAGAGCCGCGAGCCCCGAGAUCGGCACUGAGACAAGGGCCGAGGCCCUACGGGGUGCAGCAGGCGCGAAUACUCCGCAAUGCGGGCAACCGCGACGGGGCUACCCCGAGUGCCGGGCGAAGAGCCCGGCUUUUGCCCGGUCUAAAAAGCCGGGAGAAUAAGCGGGGGGCAAGUCUGGUGUCAGCCGCCGCGGUAAUACCAGCUCCGCGAGUGGUCGGGGUGUUUACUGGGCUUAAAGCGCCCGUAGCCGGCCCGGCAAGUCGCUCCUGAAAUCCCAGGGCCCAACCCUGGGGCGGGGGGCGAUACUGCCGGGCUAGGGGGCGGAAGAGGCCGCCGGUACUCCGGGGGUAGGGGCGAAAUCCGUUAAUCCCCGGAGGACCACCAGUGGCGAAAGCGGGCGGCCAGAACGCGCCCGACGGUGAGGGGCGAAAGCCGGGGGAGCAAAGGGGAUUAGAUACCCCUGUAGUCCCGGCCGUAAACGAUGCGGGCUAGCUGUCGGCUGGGCUUAGGGCCCGGCCGGUGGCGAAGGGAAACCGUUAAGCCCGCCGCCUGGGGAGUACGGCCGCAAGGCUGAAACUUAAAGGAAUUGGCGGGGGGGCACCACAAGGGGUGAAGCUUGCGGCUUAAUUGGAGUCAACGCCGGAAACCUCACCCGGGGCGACAGCAGGAUGAAGGCCAGGCUAACGACCUUGCCGGACGAGCUGAGAGGAGGUGCAUGGCCGUCGUCAGCUCGUGCCGUGAGGUGUCCGGUUAACCCGUGCCCACCACGGGGCCGAAAGUCCGGCAACGAGCGAGACCCCCGCCCCUAGUUGCUACCCGGUCCUUCGGGGCCGGGGGCACACUAGGGGGACUGCCGGCGUAAGCCGGAGGAAGGAGGGGGCCACGGCAGGUCAGUAUAGGGCCUCGAGCCGCGAGGCAGAGGCCCGCUGAAGCCCCGAAAGCCGUGGCCCCGCCCUUAUACACCCCCAUCUAGAGGGGUAUCUGCCUAAACUCUG